AGAGUUUGAUCCUGGCUCAGGAUGAACGCUAGCUACAGGCUUAACACAUGCAAGUCGAGGGGCAGCAUGAACUUAGCUUGCUAAGUUUGAUGGCGACCGGCGCACGGGUGGGUAACACGUAUCCAACCUGCCGAUGACUCGGGGAUAGCCUUUCGAAAGAAAGAUUAAUACCCGAUGGCAUAGUUCUUCCGCAUGGUAGAACUAUUAAAGAAUUUCGGUCAUCGAUGGGGAUGCGUUCCAUUAGGUUGUUGGCGGGGUAACGGCCCACCAAGCCUUCGAUGGAUAGGGGUUCUGAGAGGAAGGUCCCCCACAUUGGAACUGAGACACGGUCCAAACUCCUACGGGAGGCAGCAGUGAGGAAUAUUGGUCAAUGGACGAGAGUCUGAACCAGCCAAGUAGCGUGAAGGAUGACUGCCCUAUGGGUUGUAAACUUCUUUUAUACGGGAAUAAAGUGAGGCACGUGUGCCUUUUUGUAUGUACCGUAUGAAUAAGGAUCGGCUAACUCCGUGCCAGCAGCCGC
rnacentral:rRNA from 1 species